rnacentral:rRNA from 1 species
AGUGAACGCUGGCGGUAGGCCUAACACAUGCAAGUCGAACGGCAGCACAGGAGAGCUUGCUCUCUGGGUGGCGAGUGGCGGACGGGUGAGGAAUACAUCGGAAUCUACUUUUUCGUGGGGGAUAACGUAGGGAAACUUACGCUAAUACCGCAUACGACAUACGGGUGAAAGCAGGGGACCGUCGGGCCUUGCGCGAUUGAAUGAGCCGAUGUGGGAUUAGCUAGUUGGCGGGGUAAAGGCCCACCAAGGCGAAGAUCCGUAGCGGGGCUGAGAGAAUGAUCAGCCACACUGGAACUGAGACACGGUCCAGACUCCUACGGGAGGCAGCAGUGGGGAAUAUUUGACAAUGGGCGCAAGCCUGAUCCAGCCAUACCGCGUGGGUGAAGAAGGCCUUCGGGUUGUAAAGCCCUUUUGUUGGGAAAGAAAUCCAGCUGGCUAAUACCCGGUUGGGAUGACGGUACCCAAGAAUAAGCACCGGCUAACUUCGUGCCAGCCGCCGCCGUAA